ensembl:ncRNA C55A6.18 ncRNA
CCUCUCCUCAAUGUGUUCUACAUCUUCACACACUUUUUGACUACUUCUUCUUCUUUUGCUGAUGUGGUGAUGAUGAAGAUGAAGAAUAUAAUAAAAUGAAAGAGAGAAUAUGUAAGAAUGAAACUAUAGAGGCAAUUGUUA